ACGCUAAUACCGCAUACGACCUACGGGUGAAAGCAGGGGAUCUUCGGACCUUGCGCGAUUGAAUGAGCCGAUGUCGGAUUAGCUAGUUGGCGGGGUAAAGGCCCACCAAGGCGACGAUCCGUAGCUGGUCUGAGAGGAUGAUCAGCCACACUGGAACUGAGACACGGUCCAGACUCCUACGGGAGGCAGCAGUGGGGAAUAUUGGACAAUGGGCGCAAGCCUGAUCCAGCCAUACCGCGUGGGUGAAGAAGGCCUUCGGGUUGUAAAGCCCUUUUGUUGGGAAAGAAAUCCAGCUGGCUAAUACCCGGUUGGGAUGACGGUACCCAAAGAAUAAGCACCGGCUAACUUCGUGCCAGCAGCCGCGGUAAUACGAAGGGUGCAAGCGUUACUCGGAAUUACUGGGCGUAAAGCGUGCGUAGGUGGUCGUUUAAGUCCGUUGUGAAAGCCCUGGGCUCAACCUGGGAACUGCAGUGGAUACUGGGCGACUAGAGUGUGGUAGAGGGUAGCGGAAUUCCUGGUGUAGCAGUGAAAUGCGUAGAGAUCAGGAGGAACAUCCAUGGCGAAGGCAGCUACCUGGACCA
rnacentral:rRNA from 1 species